GAUGAACGCUGGCGGCGUGCCUAAUACAUGCAAGUCGAGCGAACAGAUGAGGAGCUUGCUCCUCUGACGUUAGCGGCGGACGGGUGAGUAACACGUGGAUAACCUACCUAUAAGACUGGGAUAACUUCGGGAAACCGGAGCUAAUACCGGAUAAUAUAUUGAACCGCAUGGUUCAAUAGUGAAAGACGGUUUUGCUGUCACUUAUAGAUGGAUCCGCGCCGCAUUAGCUAGUUGGUAAGGUAACGGCUUACCAAGGCAACGAUGCGUAGCCGACCUGAGAGGGUGAUCGGCCACACUGGAACUGAGACAAGGUCCAGACUCCUACGGGAGGCAGCAGUAGGGAAUCUUCCGAAAUGGGCGAAAGCCUGACGGAGCAACGCCGCGUGAGUGAUGAAGGUCUUCGGAUCGUAAAACUCUGUUAUUAGGGAAGAACAAAUGUGUAAGUAACUAUGCACGUCUUGACGGUACCGAAGCAGAAAGCCACGGCUAACUACGU
rnacentral:rRNA from 1 species